rnacentral:sRNA from 1 species
AGUCUGGCUUCUAAACUGGGCUGGACCCCAUCACAGAUGAAUAACAGUUGUAGAAUCUUUUACUGGGACUAGGAAUCACUUUGCCUACUCCUUCCAUUAAUUGGAGGGUUAGUAGGAAAGCGUGUUACUCUCAUGGCAUCUUCUAAGAUUUCAAGUCCAUAGAAAGGAUCUUCUGUUUAAAGGAGAUGACCCUUUUUAGAUCUGCAAGAUUUGUGUUUUAGUAUCCCAUUUGUCUGUCCUCCAAUAGCCGACCUUUCUGUCUUCCACCAC